rnacentral:rRNA from 1 species
UACGAAGGGGGCUAGCGUUGCUCGGAAUCACUGGGCGUAAAGCGCACGUAGGCGGCUUUUUAAGUUAGGGGUGAAAUCCUGGAGCUCAACUCCAGAACUGCCUUUGAUACUGAGAAGCUUGAGUCCGGGAGAGGUGAGUGGAACUGCGAGUGUAGAGGUGAAAUUCGUAGAUAUUCGCAAGAACACUAGUGGCGAAGGCGGCUCACUGGCCCGGUACUGACGCUGAGGUGCGAAAGCGUGGGGAGCAAACAGG